GCCUGGCUGGCUCAGUUGGUAGAGCGUGCAAUCCUUGAUCUCGGGGGCUGUGGGUUCAAGACCCAUGCUGGGUG
rnacentral:tRNA from 1 species